CUUUCUUCCUCCAGUCCUUGUCUUAGUGUCCCCUGCUUGUUUCUGGCACCGUCGCUCUGCUUUUCCCCCUUUGGCGCAGUGGGGAAGGAAGGAGGUUCGAGGCGGUCAGGGAUCAUCAGGGUGAUGGAGGAUUGGACUGAGGAGG
ensembl:miRNA